CAUGCAAGUCGAGCGAGAACCCAUCUUCGGAUGGGGGGCAGUGGCGAACGGGUGAGUAACACGUUGGUGACCUGCCCUGAAGCCGGGGACAACCCUUCGAAAGGGGGGCUAAUACCCGAUAUGUUUGCGCUGUUUAGAAGGGCGCAAAUAAAGUUCCGGCGCUUCAGGAGGGGCCAGCCGCCUAUCAGCUUUGGUGAGGUAAUGGCUCACCAAGGCGACGACGGGUAGGGGGCGUGAGAGCGUGACCCCCCACAAUGGAACUGAGACACGGUCCAUACUCCUCCGGGAGGCAGCAGUGAGGAAUAUUGCACAAUGGGGGAAACCCUGAUGCAGCAACGCCGCGUGGGUGAUGAAGGCCUUCGGGUCGUAAAACCCUUUUCUGGGGGACGAGAAAGGACGGUACCCCAGGAAUAAGUCCCGGCUAACUACGUGCCAGCAGCCGCGGUAAAACGUAGGGGGCGAGCGUUAUCCGGAAUUACUGGGCGUAAAGCGCGUGCAGGCGGCUUGAUAGGUUGGACGUGAAAGCUCCUGGCUCAACUGGGAGAGGCCGUUCAAAACCAUCAGGCUUGAGGACGGAAGAGGGGAGUGGAAUUCCCGGUGUAGUGGUGGAAUGCGUAGAUAUCGGGAGGAACACCUGUGGCGAAAGCGGCUCCCUGGUCCGUAUCUGACGCUCAGACGCGAAAGCGUGGGGAGCGAACGGGAUUAGAUACCCCGGUAGUCCACGCUGUAAACGAUGGAUGCUAGGUGUGGGAGGUCUUGACCCCUUCCGUGCCGUAGCUAACGCGUUAAGCAUCCCGCCUGGGGACUACGGCCGCAAGGUUAAAACUCAAAGGAAUUGACGGGGGCCCGCACAAGCAGCGGAGCGUGUGGUUUAAUUCGAUUCUACACGAAGAACCUUACCUGGGCUUGACAUGCACGUAGUAGUGAAGCGAAAGCGGAACGACCUUCGGGAGCGUGCACAGGUGCUGCAUGGCUGUCGUCAGCUCGUGUCGUGAGAUGUUGGGUUAAGUCCCGCAACGAGCGCAACCCUCGUCGUUAGUUACAUGUGUCUAACGAGACUGCCGGUAUCAAACCGGAGGAAGGUGGGGAUGACGUCAAGUCAGCAUGGCCCUUAUGUCCAGGGCUACACACACGCUACAAUGGUCGGUACAAUGGGCUGCUACACCGCGAGGUGAAGCGAAUCCUCAAAGCCGGCCUCAGUUCAGAUUGCAGUCUGCAACCCGACUGCAUGAAGGCGGAGUUGCUAGUAACCGCGCGUCAGCCAUAGUGCGGUGAAUACGUUCCCGGGCCUUGUACACACCGCCCUUCACGUCAUGGGAGCUGGUAACACCUGAAGUCGGUG
rnacentral:rRNA from 1 species